rfam:Picoides pubescens contig15670, whole genome shotgun sequence.
GCAAUAGUAAUCCUGCUCAGUACGAGUGGAACCGCAGGUUCAGACCCCUGGUGCGUGCGCUUGGCUGAGGAGCCACUGGCGCGAGGCUACCAUCUGCGGGCUUAUGACUGAACGCCUAUAGUCCAGAGAUCUAUAAGAUGU